ACACGUCAAAGCAUUUAUGAUCUGAAGUAAAUUUGAAGGUGUCGCCAAUCACUUCAAAAUGAUGGCACACUACAAAAAAUAUGCUUUACGGCACUAAGUCAGAAAUUAUUUGAAAGUUUUUUGGGUUCUGCAGUUACAACUUUCAACGAAAUCUAUUUGAGGAAACUACUGCUGCCUGGCGAUGAAAUACCAUUUAAUUUUUGUUUUUAUCUGGUGUUUCCUUUUAAUGAACUUAGUCCUGUGCAAUGCGGCUGAUAAUGAUAAACCUGGUUUAUUGGAGGCAAUACCAAAAGGGUUACGGCUUGCCGUCGUUGGUCUUCUAGAUAAAGUCUCAAAUGGGCUUAAGUUUUUAGUUAGAACAGUUGUUUGAAAAGUACCUCUCAUUUGAAGAACUAGAAGACACUGGACGACGACUAAAAGACCUGUUUUUAAAUCUAAAAUGUACUCUGAAAUCAAUAAAGAAAUUUCUAAAGAGA